UUGUGAAAUUUGUUAGUAAGAACCUUGAAAUGGGAAACCUGAGUGAAAUUGCAAUUUUGAGCAUAAUUGCUAAAGGAAACUUCAUUUCUAGUCUAGGGAUAAAAAAUCCAUGUGGAAGAUAGCUCAGAAACUUACAAGUAGUUGCUUAGAAUCUGAGAUGUAUUCUCCUCCAAAUCAUAAGCACCGGAUUUGAGAUACAAUGGAAAGAAAAUGCGGCUGAUGCAACUGAAAGUGGUGACCACAAAUCAAUUUGACAUAUUGAAGUGAAAGAGGAAGACUUUUUGAAGAAUUGUGAUGUUUAUUAUUAUUGAUACUUAUAUGAAUAAAUUUUAUUUUGUAGCGUUUAUUGCUAGUGAACUUGAAGUAGUGCAUUAUUAGUAUGGGCAAUACUACACAAAUUAUAUUUCUUUGUUGAAA